AGAGUUUGAUCCUGGCUCAGGAUGAACGCUAGCUACAGGCUUAACACAUGCAAGUCGAGGGGCAGCAUGGACCCAGUUUUGCUGGGUUUGAUGGCGACCGGCGCACGGGUGAGUAACGCGUAUCCAACCUGCCCUUUACUCCGGGAUAGUCUCCUGAAAGGGAGUUUAAUACCGGAUGUGUUUGUCUUUCCGCAUGGGAGCGACAAAUAAAGAUUGAUUGGUAAAGGAUGGGGAUGCGUCCCAUUAGCUUGUUGGCGGGGUAACGGCCCACCAAGGCGACGAUGGGUAGGGGUUCUGAGAGGAAGGUCCCCCACAUUGGAACUGAGACACGGUCCAAACUCCUACGGGAGGCAGCAGUGAGGAAUAUUGGUCAAUGGGCGGGAGCCUGAACCAGCCAAGUAGCGUGAAGGACGACGGCCCUACGGGUUGUAAACUUCUUUUAUAAGGGAAUAAAGUUCGCCACGUGUGGUGUUUUGUAUGUACCUUAUGAAUAAGCAUCGGCUAAUUCCGUGCCAGCAGCCGCGGUAAUACGGAAGAUGCGAGCGUUAUCCGGAUUUAUUGGGUUUAAAGGGAGCGUAGGCGGGCUUUUAAGUCAGCGGUCAAAUGCCACGGCUCAACCGUGGCCAGCCGUUGAAACUGCAAGCCUUGAGUCUGCACAGGGCACAUGGAAUUCGUGGUGUAGCGGUGAAAUGCUUAGAUAUCACGAAGAACUCCGAUCGCGAAGGCAUUGUGCCGGGGCAGCACUGACGCUGAGGCUCGAAAGUGUGGGUAUCAAACAGGAUUAGAUACCCUGGUAGUCCGCACGGUAAACGAUGAAUACUCGCUGUUUGCGAUAUACAGCAAGCGGCCAAGCGAAAGCGUUAAGUAUUCCACCUGGGGAGUACGCCGGCAACGGU
rnacentral:rRNA from 1 species